GAUACACCAUGAACAUUACCUAACAUCAUUUAUUUUACAGUGCAUAGAAAGUUGGUGGUGCCAAAUGCGAAAACAUCAUGGUCAGUAUUGGAUGGACGAAUUAAAGGGCUUAGAGGCAGAUGGAUUUUACGACCCUGAUAACAUUAAUGAUAGGCUGUCUUUGACUGCUGUGUAUAUGCCAUUGAUUGGUAAGGAAUUGAAUGACUUUGUUGAUCAAUGGAAUGCACAUCGCAUAAGAAAGCAAAAGUGAAUAGACAGACCAUGUGGUAUUCCGGAAGACAUGUACAAUUUCCCUGAUAAACAUGGUGGUACCCAAUGUGGUUAUCCAGUGAUCCAAAAUGACCUUGAUGAAAUAAGUAGAAGACAUUAGUUUGAUGAGAACGGCCAGAGUUAUUUACCCGAUUAUGUCACAGAAGAACAAAUUAUAGAAAUAUGUGGAAACAUUGAUGUAUAUAAUGCCAGAGAUAGCUAUAUUCUUCUUAGAGAGCACUUGCCUGCAUAUUUAACAUAAUCGUAAAGCAUUCUUAUGGUUGCCAUUUGCCA